UCCACAGUUGCCUGGUUUCUUUAGAUGCUCCUCCCUGCCUCAUCUCAAGGCUCAGAAAACCAUUUUCAGGUAAAUAGCCAGAAACCCCACACUGGGAUUCUAACAUCUACCGUGACUGGAUGCAGCCACCCUAGGAUACGGCACUUCUGCCCAUCCCUUAGGACUCCAUCUUUCUUCCGGAGCACAGAAAAAAGUACCACCAAGGACAGCCUGGGGGAGGAAAAGGAUAGCAACUGGCCAGUUCUUCAGUGUGUGGUCCUGAAGGAGUGUAGGAGGAAUACCGGGAGCAGUUGGGGGAUGUGUAGGAGGAGGGGAGGAAGGAGGUGGUGAUGGAGGCAUUUCGGAAGAGCCUUCAUUCAUUCUCAGGCACAUGGAAUGGCCUCAGUGAGAAGCAAGCCACUUCAUGAAGAAACUGCGGAGCACUCGUGCAGGACGGUGCUCUGGAGAGGAUACAAAUCUUUCUGCACGGUGACAUAGUCCUUACUGCGGUGACAUAGAUCUCUGCGGUAUUACCUUCCACAUUUUCUCCCGGAACAAAAAUGAGGCUGCCCAGCAUUGAGAAUCUCUUGAUCAAUAAAAUUGGAUCACUGCAACACUCA